CUUUGUCUGUGUCUGUGGAUGUUCUAUGGAAACAGACAUCAGUUCUGACUGUAUCUGUAGGAACCACAGCGGUUGUUCUGGUUCUCAUUGUCUGUGUCUCUGUAUUCAUCUGGUUCAGAAAGAAGGCCUCCAAAUUCACAGCCGACGAUGGACAGGAGGAAGAUUAUGUCAAUGUAAAUAUCUCGAACAUGGCCAUGGCCCCUUCAGCAGAACAGACAGCAGAGACAACAGACAACGAGGAGGAGGAAGAUUAUGUCAAUGUAAAUAUCUCGAACAAGGCCAUGACCCCUUCAGCAGAACAGACAGCAGAGACGACAGACAACGAGGAGGAGGAGGAUUAUGUCAAUGUACAUUUCUCAAACAAGACCAUGGCCCCUAUAGCACAACAGACAGCAGAGACAACAGAUCAUGGAGAGGAGGAGUCUGUGUAUGUGAUCGACUCAAACAUGUUCAUGACCCCUUCUGCAAAAGCGACAAAAAGAGGAUUCAUCUAAUUUCUACAAACCCAGAACCAAGAGAACCUGAACACAACAUUACAUAAAUACAGCAAGACCUGAAUGAAGAAUCACCUGAACACAACAAAACCUGAACUCAACAAGAUAUGAAACCAACCAAGAAAUAACCACAAACUGACUUUCAUGGUCAGCCCCAUGGUAUCUAUAUAUGAAGAAAAGUAGCUUGUUUUACAGAUCAAUUAACCAGAUCUAUUGUGUUGUGUUUUGGUCUCAUUACAAUUUUUAUUAGAUGUUAUAUGUUAUUUGCACAUUCUUAUUAUAUUUAAUGUUGAUCUGUAAUAAUGUACAGUGUGGAGAACAAGUAUUUGAUACACGUCCGGUUUUGCAGGUUUUCCUACUUACAAAGCAUGUAGAGGUCUGUCAUUUUUGUAUUUUGUGUACACUUCAACUGUGAGAGAAAGAAUCUAAAACAAAAAUCCAGAAAAUCACAUUGUAUGAUUUUUAAAUAAUUAAUUUGCAUUUUAUUGCAUGACUUAAGUAUUUGCUCACCUACUGACCAGUAAGAAUUCCGGUUCUCACAGACCUGUUAAUUUUUCUGUAAGGAGCCUUUCUGUUCUCCACUCAUUACCUGUAUUAACUGCACCUGUUUGAAAACGUUAACUGUAAAGAAGACACCUGUCCACACACUCAAUCAAACAGACUCCAACCUCUCCACAAUGGCCAAGACCAGACAGCUGUUUAAGGACAUCAGGGAUACAAUUGUGAAUUUGCACAAGGCUGAAUUUGCACAAGGCUACCUAUGACAAAAAUUACACACUUCUACAUGCUUUGUAAGUGAGAAAACCUGCAAAAUCGGCAGUGUAUCAAAUACUUGUUCUUCCC
ensembl:lncRNA